GUUUCCCUAUCGGCGGCAGCGGGCAAGGCGGCGGCGGCGGCGGCGGCAGCCGCGGUGGCGGCGUGGGGAACAUCUCGGCAGCCACCGCGCUUCUCCCGCUGGAGCGGGCGUCCAGCUUGGCUGCCCUCGGUCCUUCCCUGCCACGUUUCGGGUCGCCCUGCACCCCCCACCCAGGCUCGCUUCUCUUCGAAGCGGGAAGGGCGCCUUGCAGGAUCCUGCCGCCCCUCCAACCGGAUCCUGGGUCUAGAGCUCCCCAGAGCGAGGCGCUCGCCAGGACUCCUGCCCCGCCAACCCUGACCGCCGGGGGGUGCCCCCGGGACGUAGCGCCGCGGAGAGGAAGCGGCAAAGGGGACCAUGCGGCGCCUGACUCGUCGGCUGGUUCUGCCAGUCUUCGGGGUGCUCUGGAUCACGGUGCUGCUGUUCUUCUGGGUAACCAAGAGGAAGUUGGAGGUGCCGACGGGACCUGAAGUGCAGACCCCUAAGCCUUCGGACGCUGACUGGGACGACCUGUGGGACCAGUUUGAUGAGCGGCGGUAUCUGAAUGCCAAAAAGUGGCGCGUUGGUGACGACCCCUAUAAGCUGUAUGCUUUCAACCAGCGGGAGAGUGAGCGGAUCUCCAGCAAUCGGGCCAUCCCGGACACUCGCCAUCUGAGAUGCACACUGCUGGUGUAUUGCACGGACCUUCCACCCACUAGCAUCAUCAUCACCUUCCACAACGAGGCCCGCUCCACGCUGCUCAGGACCAUCCGCAGUGUAUUAAACCGCACCCCUACGCAUCUGAUCCGGGAAAUCAUAUUAGUGGAUGACUUCAGCAAUGACCCUGAUGACUGUAAACAGCUCAUCAAGUUGCCCAAGGUGAAAUGCUUGCGCAAUAAUGAACGGCAAGGUCUGGUCCGGUCCCGGAUUCGGGGCGCUGACAUCGCCCAGGGCACCACUCUGACUUUCCUCGACAGCCACUGUGAGGUGAACAGGGACUGGCUCCAGCCUCUGUUGCACAGGGUCAAAGAGGACUACACGCGGGUGGUGUGCCCUGUGAUCGAUAUCAUUAACCUGGACACCUUCACCUACAUCGAGUCUGCCUCGGAGCUCAGAGGGGGGUUUGACUGGAGCCUCCACUUCCAGUGGGAGCAGCUCUCCCCAGAGCAGAAGGCUCGGCGCCUGGACCCCACGGAGCCCAUCAGGACUCCUAUCAUAGCUGGAGGGCUCUUCGUGAUCGACAAAGCUUGGUUUGAUUACCUGGGGAAAUAUGAUAUGGACAUGGACAUCUGGGGUGGGGAGAACUUUGAAAUCUCCUUCCGAGUGUGGAUGUGCGGGGGCAGCCUAGAGAUCGUCCCCUGCAGCCGAGUGGGGCACGUCUUCCGGAAGAAGCACCCCUACGUUUUCCCUGAUGGAAAUGCCAACACGUAUAUAAAGAACACCAAGCGGACAGCUGAAGUGUGGAUGGAUGAAUACAAGCAAUACUAUUACGCUGCCCGGCCAUUCGCCCUGGAGAGGCCCUUCGGGAAUGUUGAGAGCAGAUUGGACCUGAGGAAGAAUCUGCGCUGCCAGAGCUUCAAGUGGUACCUGGAGAAUAUCUACCCUGAACUCAGCAUCCCCAAGGAGUCCUCCAUCCAGAAGGGCAAUAUCCGACAGAGACAGAAGUGCCUGGAAUCUCAAAGGCAGAACAACCAAGAAACCCCAAACCUAAAGUUGAGCCCCUGUGCCAAGGUCAAAGGCGAAGAUGCAAAGUCCCAGGUAUGGGCCUUCACAUACACCCAGCAGAUCCUCCAGGAGGAGCUGUGCCUGUCAGUCAUCACCUUGUUCCCUGGCGCCCCAGUGGUUCUUGUCCUUUGCAAGAAUGGAGAUGACCGACAGCAAUGGACCAAAACUGGUUCCCACAUCGAGCACAUAGCAUCCCACCUCUGCCUCGAUACAGAUAUGUUCGGUGAUGGCACCGAGAACGGCAAGGAAAUCGUCGUCAACCCAUGAAGGAGCAGCCCAGAAUGCCUGCACCUGCUACUGAAGAUAACAGGCUGCAAUAAUUCACUGUCCAGAUGCAGCAAGGAGCGGAAACGGGUCCCGGCCUCCUCUGCUGAGCCCUGUGGAGAAGCUACGCCAUGCGCAGUGUGUGUGCGUUGCCGAAGAAAACGGCAGGAGACACCACAAAAGGACCUGGAGGCGGGGCUCAGCACCCCCAGAAGCUCCCUUCUUCUCAUGGGGAGGCCGUGCCUCUCACCAACAUUUAGGGAAUAUCGCCAGCUCCAGCUCUGCUUCUUACCCUUAGUUAGAAACUUCUGGUCUGACCCACGAGUUCAGCUCUCGCGCCUGAAUUCUGCCUCUCUUCAGCCUGGCACCUGCAUGAUUUUCAGUUUGGGAGCUACCCCAGAUGUGCCAGAGUCCAGCCUGGGCUUCUACUGCCUACCCAGGGGGCAUCUGUUUGGGGUGUGGGGUCUGCUUCAUCUUGCCAAACCGGGGGCAGGAGUCUUAGACCCACUGGAGCUUUGGAUCCUUUACCUCCUGUCCCCUUGCUCUGGACACCUGGCCCAGCUGCGUCCUAGGAGGUAAGAACAACGGGAGCACAAGCACAGAAACAAGAAAGGGCAGGCCUUUUCUCAGAGAAUGGAGAGCAAGUCAACAAGCCUGUGGUGUAGGAGACAUGGAAAAAAGUGGGGGGCAGGUAAAGCUGGGAAGGGGACCUUGAAUGCAAGGCAGAGGAUUCUGCACUUAAUCGAGUAAAGUAGCGGUGAGCCACUGAAGGCUUUGGAGCAAGGGCGUAGCAUUGUAAGAAGGAUGUGAGAAGAGGAAGAUUGACUGAGUAGCAUGGAGGAAGGUGUUUUGCAGGUAAGAUUCGGAGAAGGCGGGGCCUGUUAAAGACUCCAGAGAUGUGAGACCUGAACUAUGUUACUGACAGUCAGAGCAAAAAAAAUAGACAAUGGCUAUUUUUCCAAUUGUGGGGGUGGAUGUGGGAGACAGAGGAGAAGAGGGAGGGGGAAAGAUGGAGCAAGGUGAGAGAAUGGCCUUCAUGCCAAGUAGAUCCUGCUGAGCCUACUGGGUAAAUUCCUUCAUGGCACCCAUACUUAAUGGAUCCAUUUGAGUAUCCAAUAACCAGGCUUAAUUUCUUAAUUGCAAAACACACACACACAAGAGAAAUACUAGUAGCGUAGCAACCACUUAUACAGUGCUUGCUUGGUCCCCAGCAUUGUUCUUAGAGUUUUAAGGAAUUUACCUUAGUCAAUGCACAUAAAAAUAGUAGCUAUAUAAUAAUAGCUACUCUUAUUGUCUCCAUCUUAGAAGUGAGUAACUUGAGAACCAAGCGGGUUAAGUAACUUGUCCAAAGUCAUAACUUGUAGUAGAGGUGAAAUUCAAGUCCAAGAAGUCCACUCUUGAGUUCUGGGUUCUGGUUCUAGGCUCUGCUGCCUCUCACACUGAAGAUAAAAUAACAAAUAACUCAUCUUCUUAUCAGAAAGAAAAUGUGACAAAUACAGUUGAAGUCCCUUGUGGAAAACACUUUCAUGAGCUGACUUUUAAAACUGAGUAGUUCUACAUCACUCACAACUGGUUAACCCCACUGACUCAGAGUCAUUCAUCAUGGGUCAUUUGUUAGGUAGGGAAGGGAGAGGGGAUGUAGCAUUUCGUGAGCUGCUAUUACAUGCCAAUGCUAUGUUUAUGUGUUUUAUGUUCACUCUUUUAUUUACUGCGAGCAGUAUUCCAGAUAGAUAUUAUCAUCAGCUUUACAGAUGAGGAAGUUGAGCCUCAGAGAAAUUAAAUAACUGGUCGAGGUUGCCCAGGUGAUAUAUGGCAGAGUGGGGGCCUCUUCUCAGUGGCCAUGCCUCCCAAUUGACGUGGCAUCAGCCCCCCAAAUGUAUAUGUAAAUCACUGAGCAAUAAAUAUUUACCAGACACCUGCUAUAUAACAGGUACUAUGCCAGAAAGUGGCCACCAGUCCUUGCCUUCAGGGACAACAAGCAUGGGAGAGGAGGUUUUCUUUGAGAGAGAGAGCAGGGAAAGAGAAGGUGGGAGGGAGGAUGUGCUUGGUGGGAUCGCUGCUAUCCCAGAGGUUGCUUGAGAACAAGGGGCACAGAGCAGGGAAAGGAAAAGCUUUGCAGAGAAUUGGAGGGCUGAGUUGUGAGGCUGCCAGGACAAGGGGAAGAAAGGGCAGAAUUCUAAGUACAGGAGCCCACAUUUGCUUCCCCACACUACCUUUGAGUAGCGUGAUUAAUCCUCACUGUAAUAUCCUUGAGGCAUUAUUUUUAUGAACUUUACACUAAUUGUUUAGAGGUUGGAGAAGAACACUGGACUAAAGGAAGGGGGAACUCUGCUCAAGGAGUUGCUUUCUGUGCCCCCAGCAGGAGGGCUGUGGGAGGCAGGCAUCCCCUUUGUGUCCCCAUAGCACCCUUGUGUCCUUGUGGAACACUUUGUGUCUCCGUGUCCUUCUGUGUUCCCAGGGGACUCUCUGCACAGCCCAUCUUAACACUUACUCCAUUACCUGCAUGUCCUCUGUCCAUGUGUCGGUUCCCCCACCCCUACUGUGUGUAAGCUCCUCAGAGAAUGGGACCCCCCACUGCCUCUGUCAGGGUCUGGCUCUCAAAGGUGCUUGUCAAAUUGAACCUGAAUAGAGCCAGCCAGGUCUUCAAGAUGCAGCUGCUCCUUCAUCUGCUUCCAUAUCUAAUCAAACAGGUCAAGAUUAUUUCUCUAUCCAGAAUAGGUCCUUGCAACUUGGAUAGCACAAAGAGGCUAUAGUGCAUUCUAACUACCAAGAACUCUUUCUGUGGGGUCAUGAAGCUGAUGAAAAACUCUCAGACCCAGCCUCUGCCAAUGGACAGUCAGGUGCUCCUGUGCUGCUGCUCUGGGGAACUGAUAGUACAAACCCAGCAGAAGCCUCGGAACAUUCCAAAGCUGCCUGGAGGGAGCGGGGUCAGAGAGGACUCUCCCACUGUCCUCAGUGUUCCCUGGGAUCCCUGAGGGGGCUGGCCAUCUAAGAAUGGGGGGCCGUAGGCUAAGAGUCCAGAGGGAUGACCACUCACCACCCUCCCCUGCAACAGCUGGCUUCAAGACAUACAGACCAAGGCAGCUUCAGGGUAAUAGCCAACCAGAGCUGGCCACAGGCAGAUGUGUUCCAACCACCGGAAGUAGUUCAGCUUUCAGAGCCAGAAGCUACAAUGUCAGAGGCAUGACUUGAAGAUUUCAUCCCUUCAGCUGCUGGGAAUUCUCCAUUAUAAAACAAGCAAUUCCUGUAAAAACAAGUGUGAUGAUCUCUGCCUCUUCUCUGUCGAGUCUUUCUAACUUCAACAGCCCAACUAUAUUGCCUUGAAUUCUGUAUUUCUGUGGCAGAAUGAAAAAAAGGUCUAGAAUACUGAGCAUGAACAGAACUUUGAACAGAGGAUCUCUAGUCCAACUGCAGCUUCAUGCAGCCCUGUCCCCAAACUAUAGCAACUACUUACUUCCAUUUUUAAAACAACUUUAGAAAUCAUUAUUAAUUUACUCAAAUCCAAUCAAUAAUUAGUGGACACCUACUAAGUGCAAGUAACCAGGUCUACUGAGGCUACAGUGAGCUAAGAUCUUCAGACCCUGCCUGUAACUGCUGUGAGAGGAAGGUGGUGUUAUCCUGAUCCACAGGGCAAGAAACAGUGCUCAGAGAAGUGCAAUAACUUAUCAAAGGCCACACAGCAAGUAAGGGGGCAGGCAGAGCUGGAACCCACUUAGCUACAGAUUCCAGGCCCCUCUUCUCUUUCCUUUUCGGCCCCUGUUCUCUUUCCUUUUCGCCUAGAAAGUUGCACUUUUAGAAAAAUCUAAUUUAAAAAACAUGAGAAUAAUAUUAUAUAUAGUGUAACUGAGAAGCUCAAGAUGUAACAUAUUUUUCAAAUUGUCUUUUCCAAUCAAGACAAGAAAAGCUAAGGUUGUGAGAUGACAAUACUUUGGCCAGUUUGAUUGAAUAAAAGGAUAUUCAACCCACUAAAGGGCCAUGCCAGCUAGCUUGGUCUCUUUAAAAAGCUCAAGUUUCUAUUUUUUUUUUUUUAAUCAAGGUAAUAGUUGUUUGAAGUGAUGCUUACAUAUAGAAAUCCCCUACUCCGCAACGACUCCCUUUCCCCAGAGACAGCCAUCCUUCACACUUCUAGGUCCUGCCCCUGGCAUUUACCUCGACAAUUUAAAAAUUAUUCUGCUAUUUCUUGAAAUAUGAGUUUUAGACAUUAUCUAUUGACUUCAUGCCAUGGUAGAUAAGGACUUAGUUUUUCCACACCACUGCUCACAUUUUUCUCCUUUUAUCCUUGUGACAUGUUUAUAAAAUAAUUUUUGGUAAAAUCAAUAAUCAGCAUUUAUGUGCUAAACCAAAUAGUGAAUUACAAUAAACCUCCUUUCUUGUACAAUCUUUUGUUUUUCCUGGAAUUAAUAAUAGCCUCAGUAUUUUUUUCGCUUCCCUAGUUUUCUAUCUUUCAUGCUUUUCUCCAAAUUUUCCAACAUGUCAUAAUAACACUUUCCAUAAUCUCAAGCAAAUCAUCAUUUCCUUUUUUUCUUUUCCUUAAGAGCCUUCACUCAGGAGGCUCUCUGAUCAAAUGUUCCAGUGUUAUUAGUUGCUUUCUACAUGUGCUGCAUAGUAAACAUCCUAGGAAUUUUCUUCUCCAAUCUCUAAUUUGUGUUUCCCUCUUUUCUGAAACAUAAAACCAUGUAUCUUCCUAUUUCAUAACUUACUUCUUUUUCAUUUCUUUGUUUUUUUGUUUGCUAUACAACAUUCUCAUGUACAUUUCUAAGAAUGCAUGCAUCAGAGGUCAAUUUUUUGAAUUUGAUUUUAUAAAGGUAUAACAUUUGAAUUUGAAAAAUGUCCUUAUUAAAUUCUAAGAUGAAAAUCAUUUUUCUUCCGAAUCCUGAAGGCAUUGUUGUCAAGUUCUAUGAAGAGUCCUGAGAUUUCACCCUAUGUAUAAGCUAACAAGUUAGCCUGCCACAGUUUCAUGGAGACUGAUAGAAGACACAAGACACCUGGAUCAGAGAUAAAGGCAGUUUAAUACUCACAGCAGUGGGAGAAGUCAGGAUAUCAGCAUUGUUUGUACAGAUUCCCCUAACCAGGGCCAAAUGUUGCCAUACCCACACAAUGGGUAGCAUUACAAGAAAGGAACCCUGAGCUUAGGGAGCCCAAACCUUUAUGAUGGGCAUGCUUGCCUUUUACUCUGGAGGGAAACAUUGUUUCUACCUUCCAAGGCUGUUCAUUAUACCAACAUGCUGGAAAAGGUAGUCCAGACAAAGGGCAGUCAGUGCUAUUCUCCUGAGACACUGAGAAAUGCACAAGACAUAAUAAAUUGCUAAAAAUUGUUUUAUUGUCCUCUGGUUUCCACUACUGCCCCCAAGCAGUCUGAUAUCAAUGUAAUCAUUUUCUUUAGCUUGUUACUGUUUCCCCCUGUCCCUGGAAGCUUUUAAACAUCUCUUUAUACCUGGUUUUCUGAUCUUUCCAAAUUUCAAUUUGGAAACCCUACAUCCCGUGUUUUUGGAGUUUUAUUCUUAUACUAUUUCUUUGAUUGUUAGAUGGCAUCUUUCCCUUCAUACACCCUUAUGGAAUUCUCUCAUUUUCUUUGGAUUUGUUUCUUUGCUUUGUUCUCUUUCAGCUUGGAAGAUUUUCUCAAAUUUGUAAUCAUCUAUGGCUGUAAGAGUAUUUCUAAGAACAAGACACUAAAACAACUGCAAAUGCUGUGUCCUGAUUAGGCAGCACAUACCGUCUGGUGAGCUGAACCAUAGGGUGAUCGAAGGUGAUCUGGCCUUUUCAUUGGUGGGAUCGCAAUAGUCAAUAUUCGUAGGUGUUCGCUCUUGGUUUCUCCAGUUUCUCUAGCGAACAAUCUAUUGGUUUCCUGCCUGGGAGAUUUAUGCCAGGCUUGACUUUCUGGACAUAAGGCAGAAGAAUAGAGAGAGGUUACCACAUUGCAGAAACCACAUUUUUGUGGAAGAGAACAAAUAAAUGCUUUUGAUAAACCAAAGCCUCUUGACACUGGUGUCCUCACUGUGCUCUACCCUCAUUCUCUCGGGGAGAGGCUGAGACUUCUCUCAUAAUGCAGGAAGAAUCACUUAAAAAUAGAUUGAAUCAACAAGGGGCAUGAUUCAAAACCUUACCCAUCCGCACUGACUGGGCUCUGUCACACAGACACUGCUAUUCUUUGAGGGUCUGUCUGCGGGGGCAACACUGAUGCAGGACAGCCUGAAGACAGAACUAGGGUUCAUGACUGCAUUUGCACAUGAAGCUGUCUUUGGAAGAUGCUGCUUCCCUUUUUCUUUUUAUGUAAGCUGACCUUGGUUUCUUGAGCCUCAAGGUGUCAUUUGCUUUGCUUUUUAAUUUUUUUCUUUACCAAGUGUUUGUUUUAUCACAUUCAGUUUCUGAGCAUCUGUUUCAUGAAGACCUUGAAGACCCCCCACCUGUUAGUAAACCCUUAUGAAGUCUCUAAUUAAGUUUCAAGGCCACUGCUAUGAUGAAGCCUUCUUCAGACAUCACCUGGCUAGCACAGGCACUCACACAGCAGGAAAGCCCGUAAUCUCUUCUGACAGUGCAUCUGAAUCUCAGAAUCUCAGUGGCUGGAGCCUGGGAAUCUGUAUUUUGAGAAAAUCCUCUAGGUGAUUCUGGUGACCUACUAAUUCACAGGGGUCUGUGUGCCCUUUCCUCCCAUGUCUCAUGCCGGAAUUUGGGGUUCUAAUAUUGUAGCCCAUAUGUCCCUGGUGCCAACUACCUGCCCACUUGAACAUGGGCUGAUCCACUGCCCUAGCUAGACAGAGCCUUAAUGCCAGACUUUGACUUUUCCAUGAUCCCUCAACUAUGAUCCUCCCAGCAUGACUUUUCUCUGUCCUCCCACUGGCCUCCUGGUCUCAGGCUGGCUUUAUGGACUUACCUGCCCUUGCCAGGCCUCAUGUCCUGACCCCUCACCCACCAUUCCCCCAACUACCCAUGCACUCAAGUCCUAAUAUCUUUCCCCACUCUGCCUGGACCAUACUGAUGCCUCCUGUGUAUCCUGAUGCCUCCAGGUCCAGCGAAUAGAAAGGAUGAUAUUGGUAGGUAUGUUUUCUCUAAUGAGAGAUGCAGACAAGGAACACUGAGGAGGAAGUGAUGGCUUCAGACUGGCAUCUCAGGGAGGUUUCGCACUGAAAUAGGAUUUCAGCUGGAGUUUUAGUGGGAGAGCAUCUUUGUAUAUUCAUAGAAGGGGAAGUCAAAUCUAGAAAAUACUUCAUAAAUGCCUCCUAUUAUUACAAUACAAGUACUACUAUUACUAUUUCUACUAAUAAUCGUGUAUCUCAUCAUUGAAUCUCUACCAUUGGAUAAGCACAGCAUAUAUAUUGAUUUACAUAUAUUAUUUGAGAGUUUUCAACAACCCUACAAGGGAGACAUGAUUAUCCCCAUUUCAGAGAUACAGAAAAUGAGAUACAGAGAAGAAUGGUUUUCUCAAGACCUCAAGAGUACUAAGUGCUAAAAGGAAGACUAGCAGCUCAGUCUCCUGACUGAUUUCUUCGCGUUUCUCAGUAUGUCCCACUGCUUCCCUGAAAUUGAAGAAUGCAGCUCUCUCCUCUGGGAGGAACAGUCUCCUCUCUAUCUUCCCAGAGAGAAAUCUGCAAAUAAAACUCAAAUCAAAUCAUCCUGUGGGUCCCCGCCCUCAGCAUGUAGACCACCGGGCUCCUCCUUUACUGGUGGCCAUUACUGUGGUGGGUGAAAUGUGGCAAAUCGUGAUAUUGAUGAUUCAAUGGCCAGGAGAGUUGUCUGAAAGGCAGGGUGGCAUGGGGAGACCACAGGUUCAUUUUCUUCUACACCCCUCUUUUUCAUUCCCCAGAGCUUUCUGAGACAUUUGCUCCAAGACUAAAAAUACUCACGGUUUAAUGCAGCCCUAGAUCCAAAUUAUUUUAUAAAACUUGUUAAGUGCUUUUAGAGUUAGGCAAGCAAGAAAAUACUUGAGUUUUGUUCUAAUGAAAGCCAUUUUUAACAUUUAAAAUUAUAGAAAACAGCCAUACUCCUGCCCUUCAGACUCCACAGUAUUUGCCAACGUGCUGUGGUACAAAGGCCUUUAAGUAUACAAUACAUGAAAAUCUAGGUUUACAGAAAAGCUAAAUUAAAGGAGAUUAUUUGUUCUGUGCAGGAUGCCUUUGUACAGGAAUCCCAGAAAUUGAAAAACUUGAGUCCCAGGUCUGCCACUCGCUGGCAUAACCUGCACCUCAGUGUACACCUCUGUAAAAUGGAGAGAUGAAGGAUGAAGCUGCUUCCCCUCACCCACAAGGUGGUCAUGAGAAUCUGAUGAGAUGUGGAUUGUAAGCAGUGGGGUUCUAUACAAAGGUAAAGCAUCUUUGAUGAGAGAAGUAGAGGGCUAGGGUAAGGGGAGAAGUCCCUGUCCAGGGUGGCACACCUGGGUUGUUGGUGGGCUGGCCUCCUACCUAGUCAAGCUUGUGAACAGUCUAACCUGGGUCCCCACAGCAAUGGGAGGAGGAGCUGUUCCAAGUUCCAUUAUCCUGCACAGUAUACCCCGCAGUCCUGCUAUUCAGUUAAACACCGCAGCUCCUGAGUACAUUUUAAUUUCUGAUCAUUAGUUACAAGAUUUUCUUGUUAAUUCUGAUUCAGCAGAUUUUGCUGAGACAGCUCUAUUUUUCUCGCCCUUUAUUUUGGUCGUGCUGCACAGUCCCUAUCUAGACAGAUAAUAAAUCCGGGUGGCUAACCUCCCUCCCAGGAAUGAAUCAUCUGCAACUCUGAAAAGGACACAGCCGCAGGGGUGGUGACAGGGAGGAGUCCUACUCCCAGGCUUCUUUACAGGUGACUCUGGGGGAUCUUCGUGAUUCUGGCCCCAGGACACAAUCCUGUAAGUAAUUACACUGGGAGAUAACAAGACUCACCCAGAACUCAACAGUAGGAAAAUUGGGAGGUGGGGGUGGAGGGGGGGACAAUACAACUCAUGGCAAUUCAACAAAAUAAGGCUCCUGCUUUCUGCCUCUUUUUAUUAGAUCACAGGUAUCAUGUGACUGAAUUUGCCACAGAUUUAGCUAACCUGGGAGACAUCACCAGAAUUUUGCAACCAGCAAGAUUAGUUUGGGGCCCUGCACCCUCCUCUUCUCCUUCUUUCCUUGUGCCUAGUUGCCUGCCAAUGGCCAUUGGUAGGAACAGGCUUAUUCUCCUCCUUUCAGGUAGGCAACUUCCAUCCCCACCCCCGGCCUCCCAACCCUACAUCUAGGAAAACAAUGAGCUCAUCCAUGCUAAAUUGUUGUUCCAGUUGUAACACCCUUCCCAGCGACCAGUGAGAUUUGUAGACAUUAUUAAUAAGAGCUAACACUCAUGCAGCAUUUGCCACAUGCUGGCCACUCUUCUUAACCCUUUUUUGAUAUUAACUAUCUUCACUGCCACAUCAGCUCUAUGAAGUGGGGGUAAUAAUUACAGUAUCCCUAUUUUACAGAUGAGGAAACUGAGGCACAAAACAUCACACUAUUCUCUGUAGUCACCCAUGUAGUAGGCAGCAGAGCUGGUAUUGGGUCCCCAGUUGCAGAGUCCAUGCCCUCAGUCCACUGUACUUUAUUGAUGCAAUCUUUUUUUGUCACAAGAUGCUGCUAGAGUGGCCUGGUGCAGCAGCAAGCUAGCUCAGUCUUAGAGUGCAGACAGAUGGCUAGGCUCAGACCUAUGACAGGAAUGGGGCUGGAAUGGAAGGAACAGACCUAGCAGGUUGGCUCAGAGGAAGCCCCAUCUAGUGGAGUCCAAUCCAAUUAAGUAGCAGUCCAGGCAAGCAAUUCAUGUCAUAGAGGCUGACAAAGGGUAAAAGGAUGUCCCAGACCAACAGGUCAUGCAGGGAAAGAAACAGCAGUACAGGCAUCAAGGACAAGUGCCAGCAGACUACAGGUCCCAGGUUGCACCCCCAGCUGAGGUAGGCAUGGGAGCAGGAGUCAUGAGUAAGUUAGAAAACCCUACCUCACACUAUAAACACAAAUUAGCUCAAAAGGUAUCAAUGACCUAAGAGUAAAAGCCAAAACCAAAAACCCUUGGAAGAAAACUAGGAGUAAAUCUUCAUGACCUCAGAUUUUGCAAUGCUUUCUUAGGUAUGACAUCAAAAGCAUGAGCAACAAGAGAAAAAAGAGAUAAAUUGGACUUCAUCAAAUGUAAAACUUAUGUGCGUCAAAAGGUAUUAUCAAGAAAGUGAAAAUACAAUCCACAGAUAUUGCAAAUCGUAUCUCUGGAGAGAAUUUAAUAUCCAGAAUAUAUAAAGAACUUUUAUUUUACAACUGGACAACAAAAAGACAACUUACCUGAAAUAAAACUGGAAUUAAAUAGACAUUUCUCCAAAGAAGACAUACAAAUGGCCAAAAAGCACAUGGAAAGAUGCUCAACAUUAUUAAUCACUGGAAAAAUGCAAGGCAAACUACCAUGAGAUACCAUGCACUAGGAUGGCUAUCAUAUGAAAAAUUAAUUAAAAAAAAGAAAAUAAUUAUUAGCAAGGAUAUGAAGAAAUUGAAACCGUUACACAUUGCUGGUAGGAGUGUAAAAUGUCAGCUGCUGUGAAAAAUAGUUUGGUGGUUUCUCAAAAAGUUAAACAUAGAGUUACCAUUUGACCUAGGAAUUUCAGCCCCACAUAUAUCCCUGAAAAAAACUGAAAAGAGCUACUUAAAUACAUGCACAAACACUUUCAUAGACUCACUAUUCACAGUAGCCAAACGUGGAAACAAUUCAAACGUCCAUCAAUGGAAGAAUGGAUAAACAAAUGGUGGUGUAUACAUAAAAUGAAAUAUUAUUCAGACAUGAAAAGUAGUAAAGUACUGAUACAUGCUACGAUGUGGAUGAACCUCAAAAACAUUUUGCUAAGGUCUCAUAUUGUAUGAUUCCAUUCAUAUGAAAUAUCUGAAAAGUCAAUCCAUGAAGACAGAAGGCAAACUGGCAGUUGCCAGGGGCUUGGGGAAAUGGAAAGUAAAUGCUUAAUGGUACAGGGUUUUCUCUGGGGGUGAUGAAAAUGUUUUGGGACAAGAUCAAGGUGUUGGUUGUACAAGAUUAUGAAUGUACUAAAGGCCAUUAAAUUCCUCACCUUAAAA